rnacentral:rRNA from 1 species
AUUGAACGCUGGCGGCAGGCCUAACACAUGCAAGUCGAACGAGAGGCGGACGGGUGAGUAAUGUCUGAGAAACUGCCUGAUGGAUGGGGCUAACUACUGGAAACGGUAGCUAAUACCGCAUACCAUCGGAUGUGCCGAAAUGGGUUUAGCUACUGGGUGGGGUAAAGGCUCACCUAGGCGACGAUCCCUAGCUGACCUGAGAGGAUGACCAGCCACCCUGGGACUAAGACACGGCCCAGACUCCUACGGGAGGCAGCAGUGGGGAAGAUUGCACAAUGGACGAAAGUCUGAUGCAGCAAUGCCGCGUGAAUGAAGAAGGUUUUCGGGUUGUAAAGUACUUUCGGCGGGGAGGCGUUACCCGCAGAGAAAGCAACGGCUAACUACGUGCCAGCAGCCGCGGUAAUUC